rnacentral:rRNA from 1 species
UACGUAGGGGGCAAGCGUUGUCCGGAAUUAUUGGGCGUAAAGCGCGUGUAGGCGGUCCGGUAAGUCGGCUGUGAAAGUCCAGGGCUCAACCCUGGGAUGCCGGUGCGAUACUGCCGGACUAGAGUUCGGAAGAGGCGAGUGGAAUUCCCGGUGUAGCGGUGAAAUGCGCAGAUAUCGGGAGGAACACCAAUGGCGAAGGCAGCUCGCUGGGACGUUACUGACGCUGAGACGCGAAAGCGUGGGGAGCAAACAGG